AAUUCAAUCUUUAUCUAGAAGCCAUUUAAUCCAAGUGACAUUUUGGAGGAAAAGAGCAAAAAACUGAAAUCCAGAAAACUUUAAGGUUAGAUACCGCAAUUCAAAAGACUCCACAGACUAGUUUCAUAGUGGAUUCCAAGUACAUAUGGAGUUUCAUAAUGGAUUUCAGUUCUAUUCAGGAUUCAGGGUGGAAGUAGCGGACUAUUUGAAUUUGUAUGGGAAUAGAAGUAAUUAUUGCAUUCCCUCUCCAACAAAAUUACACAAAGACAACUGAAAAUUCCAAUGGCCAUAAUAAAUCCGUACAAAAAAAAGCUAUGAAUCCAGUUCGAUCAAGCGUUUUCGCACCCUACAACUCCCCUAAAUCCAUAGUCACUCACAGUUUCUAACCACCUAACAAGAACCGGAAGAUUCGGGUGCGAUCACACAGUAAGGCCUUGCGGGGGAGCAGCCAUUGGGGUCUUGGGCUUGGGCUUCUCCACGACGAUGGCUUGAGUCGUAAGCACCAUUCCUGCAACUGAAGCCGAAUUCUGCAAAGCACAUCUUGUCACCUUUGCUGGGUCGAUAACUCCGGAUUCCACCAGGUUCUCAUAUUUGUCUAUCAUUGCAUUGUAUCCCACCUCCCAUUCACUAGCCUUUAUCUUAUCCACAACCACCUCACCUUCAACGCCAGCAUUCUGAGCUAUUAAAGCUGCGGGUGCAACCAGGGCCU